UUUCCGUAGGUGAACCUGCGGAAGGAUCAUUAUUGAAUGAAACACUUCUGGCUUUCUCCUGUUGUGCUGGCCCUUUGGGCAAUGUGCACACGGCUCUGGUCACUUGUUUCUUCUGUUCCACCUGUGCACUGCCUGUAGACACGCUGUGUCUAUGAUAUUUGUUAACACACGACAAUGUUAGUUGGCAUGUUAUAUAUAAUAAUAAAAUAUACAACUUUCAACAACGGAUCUCUUGGCUCUC
rnacentral:misc_RNA from 1 species